CUCAGGUCAUGAUCUCGUGUUCCGUGAGUUCAAGCCCCGCGUCGGGCUCUGUGCUGACAGCUCAGAGCCUGGAGCCUGUUUCGGAUUCUGUGUCUCCCUCUCUCUGCCCCUCCCCCGUUCAUGCUUUGUCUCUCUCUGUCUCAAAAAUAAAUAAACGUUAAAAAAAAUUUUUUUUAAAAAGAGGCAACCCAAAACAAAACAAAAGGGGGGUGGGGCGUGGAAACAGAGCAGCUGCAGAAAUUAGGAAACUUUUCUAAAAGGCAGAUUUAAACACCAUUGUAUGAGUAGUCACAUCAAAUGUAAAUGGACUAAACUUUCCCAUUGAAAGGCCAAGACGAUCGCUCUGAUUUCUUCAAAAAAGAAAACAAAGCAAAACAACAAAACAGACCUUGUUUACAAGGAACACAUAAAAGCCACGAGAAAGGAAAGGAAGAGACGCGGUCUAGAAAUAGGCCCCGGAAGCAAUGCGGUUACAGAGCAGCCGCGGUGGGUCGCUGCGCAGAGCAGACAUGGCCGACUCUGUCUCUCCCACUGGAUGCAGCAAUUAAAGGAGGACCGUGCAUGGCUCACGCGAGGACCCAGCAAAGUCGUAACGGGCCGACUGUGGGAAGAGCCAGAAUUUGAAGCACUACCGAAGUGGGGGUCUGUGCACUGAGCUACAGGACAGACCACAGCCGAGUCCCAUACCGGCCACCGGGGGUAGUGCCCACACAGGACGGAUCCAGGUAACACUGUAAAGGCUUUGAAAACCGCUGGCAUUGAAACCACAACCCACAGAGGGCUGGGCCGAUGGCGUGCUAAAAAAAAAUGUCAACACUCUCAGUGGGAUUUUUAGAAGAGCAGGUAUUCAUAACAUAAUCUCUGAGCGUGCAGGAUACUAUCUAGAAUCAUCCUGCGUGUGAGGAACCAGAACAUCCAACGCACAAGAGAGAAGAAAAUCAAAGCCCCAGGGCAAGCAUGACACAAAACCCUCAACAAAAUAUUAGCAAAUAAUAUCUCCAAGGCACCACAGCCACACAGAGGGUAUCCCAGGAAUGCAAGGCUGGCUCAAGUCAGGAAAACAAAUCCGUGCGAGCCACCAUAUUCACAGUCUAAAGAAGAAACCACACGAUCAUGUCAACUGAUGCAGAGACAGCAUUUGACAGAAUUCAACAUCCAUCCACGAUAAAUACUCUGAGCAAACAAGAGAUAGAAGGGCAUUUACCGACUCUAACAAAGGGCACCUACAAAGGGCAAAAACAAAAACAAACAGACAAAACUGAAAUACUUAGUCCCAAAGGACUGGAUGUUUGCCUUAAUUACACAUUAAUUAACAACAUACUUUUAGGUCAUUUUACAGUAAUCUGGCACAUGCCGUUCUGACUGAGCAAUAAAAAUUAAUGGCACCAGGGGUGCCAGGGUGGCUCAGUCAGUUAAGCGUCCGACUUCAGCUCAGGUCAUGAUCUCGUGAUUUGUGAGUUCAAGCCCCGCAUUGGGCUCUGUGCUGACAGCUCGGAGCCUGGAGCCCGUUUCGGAUUCUGUGUCUCCCUCUCUCUCUGCUCCUCCCCCACUCAUCCUCCCUCUCUCUCUCUCUGUCUCUCUCAAAAGUAAAUAAACAUUAAAAAAAUUAAUGGCACAAAUAGUGGGGCUUCCUGGGCUGAUGUGCUGAGAAGGCACAGCAUCUCUUGUGUGAUAUCUGUGCCCAACAGUCAGGGGAGACAUGAUUGAGGGGUGUUCUACAUACUGGUCAUGAAAGUCAGGAACACACAGAAGAACAUUCCAGAUGAAAGAAGACAAGGGAGAGGUGAGAGCCAGAUGCACACAUGAGCCAGGACCGGUCGUAGCCCCAUGAAGGACGUCACCAGGACAGUGAGGAAGUUUGCAUGGCAUCUGCCAAUGAGUUGGGGAUGUCGGAUCAGGGGUGGUUUCCUGAUUUUGGAGGUAGAACCGAGGUUAUGUAGGAGAAAGUCCUUUGCUUCGGGAACCCUCUGAGGUGUAAGGGAAAUAGGUGGUGUGUCUGCAGCCCGUCCCCAAAGGUGCACAGGAGAUCUACAUGUACAAAUAUAGGUUUCACUGCUGUUUGACGAACUCGCUGGGAGAUGUGUGUGGAAAUGCAGAGAGCCAAGGAGAGCCCAAGCCUUCGUGCAGUAGAC